rnacentral:rRNA from 1 species
GAUUAAGACAUGCGAGUCUGAGCAUUAGCUCGGCGUACCGCUCAGUAACACGUGGGUAACCUGCCCUAUCGUUUUGAAUAACCUCGGGAAACUGAGAACAAUACAUCAUAGUCCACUACGCCUGGAACGGUGAGUGGAUGAAGGUAGGAUGGGCCUGCGGCGUAUCAGGUUGUAGGGGGUGUAAUGGACCUCCUAGCCAUCGACGCGUACGGGUGUUGGGAGACAUAGCCCGGAGAUGGAUUCUGAGACACGAAUCCAGGCCCUACGGGGCGCAGCAGUUACGAAAACUUGGCAAUGCGGGAAACCGUGACCAGGGAACUCCAAGUGAGUCUCUUUUAGGGGCUCUUUUCUUGACUCUAAAACGGUCUUGGAAUAAGGGGUGGGUAAGGACGGUGCCAGCCGCCGCGGUAAUACCGGCGCCUCAAGUGGUCGUCGCUUUUAUUGGGCCUAAAACGUCCGUAGCCGGUUUGGUACAUUCGUGGGUAAAUCAGCUCGCUCAACGAGUUGAAUUCUGCGAGGACGGCCAGACUAGGGACCGGGAGAGGUGUGGGGAACUCUCAGGGUAGGGGUAAAAUCCUGUCAUCCUGAGAGGACCACCUGUUGCGAAGGCGCCACACUAGAACGGAUCCGACGGUCAGGGACGAAGCCUAGGGGCACGAACCGGAUUAGAUACCCGGGUAGUCCUAGGUGUAAACGCUGUGGACUUGGUGUUGGGGAAGCCCAGAGCUUUCCCAGUGCCGUAGCGAAGGUGUUGAGUCCACUGCCUGGGGAGUACGGUCGCAAGGCUGAAACUUAAAGGAAUUGGCGGGGGAGCACUG